CAUUGUUCUGCAUGCCCCAGGCCAGAGCUGGCUGCACAACGCCGACAUCUGCGCUCGCUCUGUGCGUUCCUCAUACCACGGGGGGAUGGAAACAUCUGGGGGAAGGAUGGAGCGAGCCCUGCAGAAGGAGGAAGCCAAAUUGCAAAAGGCCCCGCUGGAACCGCCGCCCCCCGUGCUCCCCUUCUGCCUGGGAUGCCUUUAUCUCAAUGGGCUUUGAGGUGCUGUGCUCGGGGACAGGGCUGCACAGCCACCCCCCGGUGCCACCGAGCACUCUCAGCGUGGAGAAAGCUCACCUGAAUGAUUGCAGUGCCACAAAGAGGACAGAAGGUAAUAAUUAAAUCAGAGAGGCGAUGCGAGGUCCUUUCAUACCCCAGCACGUUUUUCUGUGCCUCCAGGAGCUCCCAUAGGAGGUGGAGGGUUCUGAACUGAGGGUUGUCUCAGGAAAGGUUUCCUUAAAGCACAGCACUGAGCUGCAUGGGUUUGCUGGAGGGAAUGCAGUGUGCCAUGCACUGCAGUGUGCCAUGCAUUACCAUGCGCCAUGCAUUGCUGUGUGUCAUGCACUGCUGUGUGCCAUGCAUUACCAUGUGCCAUGCAUUGCUGUGUGCCAUGCACUGCUGUGUGCCAUGCACCGCCGUGUGCCAUGCAUUGCUAUGUGCCAUGCAUUGCUGUGUGCCAUGCAUUGCCAUGUGCCAUGCAUUGCCGUGCACCGGAGCAAGCCAUGAACCCUGCUUAUCGCUGUGCUGGGCGAGCGGGUCUGUUCCCAGCUCCUGCAGGUGAGUCACUUCCCCUCUAUCUCCUGCAUUUCCCAUGGGUAAAAACGGGCUUGAUAAGCACAGGUGUGUUUGAGGGAUUUAACCCCAGCGUGGCUGCACAGUGCCCUGGGGGCCGGGCUGGGUUCCUCCUCUCUUUUGUCUUCCAGGAUUUCCCUAAGGGGCACAGAACCAGAAUGGCACUGCUGGCUGCGCGGGUCUGCAGUUUGCUUCCUUGCAGCACAGCCCAAGAGCAGAGCAGAGAGCCCCCCAGCAUCCCCAGCACUGCACCCCAUGGGAUACCAGCACACCGCAUCCCCCCCACACCCCCUGCACUGCACUGCCCACCCAGGGACCCUCAGCAAGGGGGGGGGGUUGCAGCCUGGACCGGGCACCAGCAUUUCUUCCCUCUUUUUUUAUUCCACUUUACUUUAUUAUUUUAUUUUUUUGGAGGCUUCGCCGGUGUCUGCCUGCUGACUGAAGCUGUCAUUAUCAGCUCAAUAAAUCUCUGGCGCGGGUUUUAUUGAAUCGCUGCCUGAGGGGGAACAAGCCUGUAAAGGUUGAGGAGAGCAGAGCUUUCCCACGCCUGAGACACGCUGCCGGAGCUCUUGCACACAUUCCGGGCCUGCCAGCACUCCGCAAAUGUUUGGACAGCCUUGAACAAAUAACACACCUUUAAAGAGGCCAGCAUGAAAUUCUUCCUCACCCCUCGGCCGCCCUCCCGCUGCCUCGUGCCCCCCCCCCAGCACCCCGCAGUGCUCCAUGUGUGUGUGCGCGCGGGGUUUAUUUUAGGCUCGUGGCCGUGCUCCAGUUUCGGGGAGGAGGAUGGAGGAUGGGGAUGGGAGGAGGUCUGGCUUUUCCUCCCACAGGAGGGGGAGAGCUGUGAAGAAAGCAGGGCAACAACCAUGGCCAACAGACCCAUGAGGACAUGUGAGUGCUGGCUGCCCAUCUCCCUGAGCUCAUUUCGUGGUCCUACGGCGGGAAGAAGACAAGAGGGUUCCAUACCACGGGACAUGACUUUGCCUUCCAACCAUUGGGUGAUGCCAACGUCCCCUUGGAGGUCAGUUCGGACGAGGUGCCAAGAGCACAGACACACUCUGGAAAUCUCAUUCCACACACCCACCCCUCCUCCCUCCUCGUUAUCCUUUAACUUCCCAAGGCGACCCGUCCCCCUGUUUGCUUGUGGCUGCCACCGCGCCGCAUCGCUCGGCCCUGAGGUCACUGGGGAUUGACACCUUCACCCAAAGCCCCGGAUUCCACCCUGCCCUCCUUAGAGAUGCACCAGGCUGUCAGUAACGAGGCCACAGGUUUAUUCAGUGGAGAUCCCCAGAUCUCAAAAGAUAAUCUGGGAAUAAUUGGGACUUAAGGAACUUGUGUGAAUCUGAUUUUUCUGCGGCGCUGCCAUUCACGAAACAGAUGGACAUCUUAUUUCUCCCUAAUUUGAUGGGCUUUCUUGACAAAAUGGCAGAGGUUGCACUUUGCUACAAUAAUAACCUGCCACUCAGACUUUGUAAGGGGUUUGUGUAGAUUUCUUCUUAAUUAGACCGUGUCUCGCUAUCGGCGAGCUGCGUGCGUGUGUGCAGAGCAGGGAGAUGGGGAGCAGCUCCUCUGCAUGACAGAGCCUGCAAAAGAGUGGGGAGGAAUCAGGGGGCUUUCAUGUUUGUGUCACUGGCUGCUUUUUGUUGUUUUUUUUUUUUUUUUUUAAGUCUCAUUUGGAAAAUAAAGAUUGGGAUGUGAGCUCAUUGUCUGGAUGAUAAUGUAUUCAUGGAUUUGCUCCCUCUCGCCCUGCAACCGAACAACAGUGCUGGGGCAGCUUCCAGGUUGGGGAGCAAGCCUGAAGGCACUGCAAACCCUUGGGAUUACUCUCAGGUUUGCAAAAACCACUUUUCACUUGCAAAAGAUUCCCAGUGCUGCCAUUUAACCCCCGACCUCCUAUUCUGCCUCCCUUUCUCUCCCAGCCCCUAGCAAAGUGGAUCCUUUGGUCAAAGCAUGGAACUGGGUCUACUCCAGCACCCCACUGUCAGCCAGCAGCACGCUUUCCUUGCUAUCCACUGUGCAAGGAAAAAGCAAUUGGGAACUUUUUGAUUACUCAGAUCCUUAAUUGAGCUCUGAUGUCUGGUUACGGUACCAAACAAAACUCAUCCACAAAUAGAAAUUGUUGGGUUGAGUGUUAUUUUUGCUCAUCUCGCUUUUGUGCCUUUAGAGAUAGGGCCCUUAGCUCAGCUCCGGAUGACAUUGUCCAGGUUUGGGACAAAAUCCUUCUUCUCCCUGUUGGUGGAUCACAUUGUUCUUCUUCUCAUUGGGAUCAGCCUAGUCUGGUGGUUGGUGACCCUGCACAUAGCAGAGGGGUUGAAACGAGGUGAUCAUUAUGGACCUUUUCAACCCAGGCCAUUCUAUGAUAUGAUUAUAUGAUUCUCCCUAUUGGGAUCACAUCCUUCUUCUCCCUGUUGGGAUCAUAGCCUUCUUCUUCUUCCCAUUGGGAUCACAUCUUUCUUCUCCCCCUUGGUGCAUCCAUGCGGCAGAUCACACACACCAUGUUGGGAGCUCUGGUCAUCACUUGUGGCUUUUAUAGCUGCAUGGCUCACAUGCUCCUUUCCCACAGGAGUUCCUUGCCACAGCAGUAGGUGAUGGAUUAAAUCCCAUAAAGCCAAGCUGAGUCACCACAUCUUCAGCUUUCCCUUCACGGUCCUAUCCAGCAGCUCUCAGCUAUGCAGUGCCAUCAUUAGGAUGUAUUUCUUGGUGAUGAGGCUGCCUGGGGUAGGCAGGCUCCUCAGGGCAGUGUCCUACUAGAGUUCAAGAAGCAUUUGGACAACACUUUCAGAUUCUUGGGUGGUGCUGUGUGGGGCCAGCAUUGGACUCAAUGAUCUGCGUGGGUCCCUUCCAACUUGGGAUGCUCUAUGAGACAGGGCACUGAGCAGUCCCUCUGCCUCUCCUCCAGACCACUCAAUUCACCCCAUUUGGUGCCCACUCCCCCUAAAACCCCAAACCAACACCCCUCCCUCCAUGCAGAACGCUGCUCUAAAAACCAAC
ensembl:lncRNA